GAUGAACGCUGGCGGCGCGCCUAAUACAUGCAAGUCGAGCGAAUGGAUUAAGAGCUUGCUCUUAUGAAGUUAGCGGCGGACGGGUGAGUAACACGUGGGUAACCUGCCCAUAAGACUGGGAUAACUCCGGGAAACCGGGGCUAAUACCGGAUAACAUUUUGAACCGCAUGGUUCGAAAUUGAAAGGCGGCUUCGGCUGUCACUUAUGGAUGGACCCGCGUCGCAUUAGCUAGUUGGUGAGGUAACGGCUCACCAAGGCAACGAUGCGUAGCCGACCGGAGAGGGUGAUCGGCCACACUGGGACUGAGACACGGCCCAGACUCCUACGGGAGGAAGCAGUAGGGAAUCUUCCGCAAUGGACGAAAGUCUGACGGAGCAACGCCGCGUGAGUGAUGAAGGCUUUCGGGUCGUAAAACUCUGUUGUUAGGGAAGAACAAGUGCUAGUUGAAUAAGCUGGCACCUUGACGGUACCUAACCAGAAAGCCACGGCUAACUACGUGCCAGCAGCCGCCGUAA
rnacentral:rRNA from 1 species